AAAAAAAAAAAAAAAAAAAAAAAAAUCUGAGAAAAGCUUAAAAUAGCCAUAAGCGUUUGAAUGUGACUAACAUUUGCUUUGAUGCUAAGUGCAGAUAUUAGAAAUGGAAGGUAAUGUGCAAGAAUAACCAGUAAAGAACAUAUUUCAAGACACUGGAGAAUGGAAGGGACUUCAAAUAGCAAGGCCAUUUGGGGGAAUGGAGUAUAUCAAAGGAGAGAAACUGGCAGGGGCCAGGUGAAGAAGGGAGCUUAUUAAACUGAAAUGCCUGGAUCAUACUUGCAUUUUAUAAAACUCAUGCUGGCAGUGGUAUGAAGCAAGGAGACGGGUAGAAUAAGAGACAGAAAGAUGUGGUAGAAAAGUGAUGUUCAGGCAAGAGAUGACAAAGUCUGAGCAGUGCAGACAAAGGAGAGGAAAGAAUGAUUUUAAACAGAAUUAAGUUGGUAGAAUUGACAUGAUUUGCUGAUGAUCUGGAUAAGAAGGUAAGAAAGAAGGAAGAGACAAGAACUAUUUACAGGUUUCUGUCUUAGCAAUGGGAGGCAUGGCAAUGCUAUUUACUGGGACAGAUACACAAAGGGAAAAACAAAAUGGGGCAUUGGAAGACUCACACUCCCUGAUUUCAAAAUUUACUACAAAACUACAGUAAACAAAACAGUGUGGUAGUGACAUAAAGACAGACAUAUAGGCCAAUGGAACAGCAUAGAGAACCUAGAAAUAAACCCUUGCAUAUAUGUCAAAUAAUAGUUAACAAGAGUGCCAAGACCAUUCAAUAGGGAAAAGACAGUUUUUUCAGGCUGGGCACACUGGCUCACACCUGUAAUCCCAGUACUUUGGGAGGCUGAGAUAGGAGAAGCGCUUAAGCCCAGGAGUUUGAGACCAGCCUGGGCAACACAGGGAGACCCCAUCUCUACAAAUAAUUUUUAAAUAUUAGCCAGGCAUGGUGGUGCACAGCUGUAGUCCCAGCUACUUGAGAGGCUGAGGCAGGAGGAUCACCUGAGCCCAGGAGGUCGAGGCUGCAGUGAGCCAUGAUUGCACCACUGCACUCCAGCCUGGGUGACAAACUGAAACACUGUCUCAAAAAAAAAAAAAGUUUUUUCAACAAAUGGUACUAGGAAAACUGGAUAUCUACAUAUAAAAGAAUGAAUAUGGACCCUUACCUAAUAUCAUAUAAAAAAUUAACUCAAAAUGGAUCAAAAACCUAAAUAUAAGACCUCAAAUUAUAAAACUCUUAGAAGACAACAAAAAGCUUCCUGAAACCGGAUUUCUCAAUGACUUCUUGGAUAUGACAAGACACAGGCAACAAAAGAAAAAAUAGACAGACUGAUCAUCAUCAAAAUUUCAAGCUUUUAUGCAUCUAAGGACACUAUGUAUAGUAAAAGUGCAACCCACAGAAUGGGCGAAAAUAUUUGCAAAUCACGUAUUUCACAAGGGAUUACAGUAAUAUCCAGAAUGUAUGGAGAACUCUUAAAAUUUAACAAAAACAAAAACAACCCAAUUCAAAAAUGAGCAAAGGACUUAAAUAGACAUUUCUCUAAAGAAGACACACAAAUGGCCGAUUAGCCCAUGAAAACAUGGUCAGCAUCACUUGUCAUUAGGGAAAUGCAAACCAAAACCACAAUAAGAUGCCAUCUCAUGCUGGGAGUGGUGGCUCAUGCCUAUAAUCCCAGCACUUUGGGAAGCCAAGGCAGGUGGAUCGCUUGAGCCCAAGAGUUCAAGACCAUCCUGGGAAACAUGGCAAAAUCCUGUCUCUAUGAAAAAUGGAAAAAUUAGUCGGGUGUGAUGGCAUGCACCUGUAGUCCCAGCUACUCAGGUGGCUGAGGUGAGAGGAUCAUCUGACCCCAGGGAGGUCAAGGCUGCAGUGACCUGUGAUUGGGCCACUGCACUUCAGCCUGGUAAACAAAGUGAGACCCCAUCCCCCACUUCCAAAACAAAAGAUGUCACCUCACACCCUACCUUAUAAUAGGAUGCCUAUUAUAAGAAAAGAAAACAGAAAACAGUAAGUGUUAGCAGGGACAUGGACAAAUUGGAAGCCCUACGCACUGCUGGUGGGAAUGGAAAAUGGUAUAGCACUAUGGAAAACAGUAUGGUAGUUCCUCAAAAAAUUAAACAUAGAAUUAUCAUUUGAUCAAGCAAUUCCACUUCAGGUAUAUACACAAAAGAACUGAAAGCAGGGGCUGAAACAGAUAUUUGCAUACCAAUGUUCACAGCAGCAUUAUUCGUAAUAGCCAAAAGGUGGAAAAUAUCCCAUUAUUCAUCCAUGAAUAAAUGAAUAAGCAAACGUGGUAUACUCAUAUAAUGGAAUAUUAUUCAGUCUUAAAAAGGAAGGAAAUUCUGACACAUGCCACAACAUGGGUGAACCUAGAAGACUUUAGGCUAAAUGAAAUAAGCCAGUCACAAAAAGAAAAUACUGAAUGAUCCUACUUAUAUGAGGUACCUAGAGUAGUCAAAUUCAUAAAGAUGGAAAGUAGGGCUGGGCGUGAUGGCUCAUGCCUGUAAUCCCAACACUUUGGGAGGUCAAGGUGGGAGGAUCACUUGAGCCUGGGAGUUUGGAACCAGCCUGGGCAACAUGGAGAGACUCUAUCUCUACAAGAAAUAAAAAUUAAAAAUUAGCCAGUCAUGAUGGUGCACACCUGUGGUCCAAGUUAACUCAGGCAGCUGAAGCACCAGUAUUGUUUGAGCCCCGGGGGUUGAGGCUGCAGUGAGCUAUGAUCGUGCCACUGCACUCCAGCCUGGGCAACAGAGCAAGACUCUGCCUCAAAAAAAAAAAAGACAGAAAGUAGAAUGUUGGUUGCCAAGGGCUGUGGAAGGAAGGAAUGGGGAGUCAUUUAAUGGGUAUAAAGUUUGUUCUGCAAGAUAAAAAGAGUUUUGGACGCUGGUUGCACAACAAUGUGAAUGAACUUAAUGCCACUGAACUACACUUUAAAAUGGUUAAGACAGUAAAUUUUAUAUUGUAUAUGUUUUAUCACAAUUAAAAAUUAAAAUUAAAUCACUACUGAUUUUAUUGUAAUUGUCACACAAAUACAGUUGAAACCCAUGGGAAAGUCAUCGCAAUUUAAAUAUGUAGAUCCAAAUAUAAAUGUUUUCAAAGCCCUUUCAUCUCCUUUAACAUCCUAAAGAAUAACCACAUAUUCUUCUGUUCAGCUACAUGAAAGAGAGUAUCAAUGACAUCACAGGAAAGUUUCCUAUGAACCAGAAUUCUUUGUGUGUGUGUGUGUGUGUGUGUGUGAGACAGGGUCUCACUCUGUUGCCCAGGCUGGAGUGCAGUGGCAUGAUCUCAGCUCAGUGCAACAUCUGCCUCCCAGGCUCAAGAAAUCUCCUGCCUCAGCCUCCCAAGUAGCUAGGACUAUGGGUACAUACCACCAUGCCUGGCUAAUAAACCGGAAUUCUUGUCCUAACCUCCAACUUCAUUCCCUCUGUUAUGAAUUAAAUGUCUAUGCCCCUUGCUCACCACCCAACCCCUGCCCCAAAUUCAAAUGUCGAAGCCCUAACCUACAAUGUGAUGGUAUUUGGAGGCAGGAUCUUUGGGAGAGAAAUAGAUUCAGAAGAGAUUAUAAGCCUGGAGCCCUCACGAUGGGAUAAGUGUCCUAAUAAAUAGAGGAAGAGCAAUCAGAGCUCUCCCCUCCCCACUCCAUCCCCACCACGUGAGGACACUGUAAGAAGGCAGCUGUCCACAAGCCAGGAAGAGAGUCCUCACUGGGGAACUGAAUCAGCUGGCACCUUGAUCUUGGGCUUCCCAGCACAGACUGUGAGAAAUAAAUGUCUGUUGCCUAAGCUACCCAGUCUACCAUAUUUCACUAUAGCAGCCCAAGUUGACUAAUAUACCCUCCCCAACCAAAGUCUUAAUCUAGGACAGUAGAUCUCUGAACCAUCUCUAAAUUGCACUCAUGUUGUACUGCCAGUGUUUUGUCUAUGGCUAAAAACUCCAAGUCAGAAACCCCAAGUAAUUUUCUAAUGAAAAGGCCUUGUCUAAGCUGUAAAUACCUUUUUGGUAAGUUCAGGGCAAUAUAUUUCUGGGCUUUAACUUUCCUUUCUUUAUUCCUCCAUUAUUGUCACAAAGCGCUGCUAGACAUCUUUGAUACUUGAACAUUCUUACAAGUAACUAUUGGUUUCAUAGCAAGCAUGUUCAUGACACAUUACAUUUGCAUCCCACACAGAAUUUAAUAGAGUGUCUCAGUUUUAAAUAUGUGAUAAACCUUACACUCAAGAUGAUAACAUACUUUUAUCUCAAAUUCAUCAGUCAAGAGCUGCUUGUAUUAGUAUUAAUAUAAUCCUUCUAGUUUUCAUUACUGGCCCAUAUGAAUUUACAACAAGCUUAGGGUUCUCCUAGGUCAACCAUCACAAUGGUUCUUCCAGAUCUUCCAUCCCUGACUGAUUAAUGCAGCUCCAUGAUGUUUCCUAAUUAUCUAAUGAAUAUUGAGUUCCACGUCUCAGGAAAGAACCACUGCUGGAAGAGCUUUCUAAGGACUGUAGAAGGGAAAGUGGGACCUAUGCCAUAGCUGCGGAAGGGAUGUAAGCAAAAAACAGCCGAGUGCUGUGCUUAAUCUUCGGCUUCCCAGGAGAAUGAGAGAAGCAGCAGCCUGGCAGGGGCACAAGGAAGUUAACAGAGAAUCUAGAUGUUUCUUUCCAACUUAGACUUCAGCAGUGCAAUAGAAUGAGGGCAUCUGUAAAGCUUAAGAGUAAAAACAAAACCAGGUCAGUCCAAAUGUUGAUUCAGCAAGGUCCCCAGGUGGUUCAGAAUCCAUAUCAUCUGUAAGGGUUUCACCUGUCCCUUCUUCAUAAAGGCAAAGUAUUCACAAACAUUUUGUGAUUGUUACAUGCAGUGACCCUCUCAUAUACUUGGAAAAUAAAUGUUCAAACAUUUAAAUGUCAUACGAAGAAGAAAAUACAGAGUUCACAAGAGCUUGGAAAGAAAGAUAC
rnacentral:lncRNA from 10 species